rnacentral:rRNA from 1 species
GCUCCUACGGGAGGCAGCAGUGGGGGAUAUUGCACAAUGGGGGAAACCCUGAUGCAGCGAUGCCGCGUGAAUGAAGACGGCCUUCGGGUUGUAAAGUUCUGUCGCAGGGGACGAAAAUGACGGUACCCUGCAAGAAAGCUCCGGCUAACUACGUGCCAGCAGCCGCGGUAAUACGUAGGGGGCAAGCGUUAUCCGGAUUUACUGGGUGUAAAGGGAGCGUAGACGGCGAUACAAGUCUGAAGUGAAAGCCCGGGGCUCAACCCCGGGACUGCUUUGGAAACUGUGUUGCUGGAGUGCUGGAGAGG